UCUCAGACGUGUUUUUUUUCUCAUGGCUGAUGCAUGGAUACAUUCAGUCAACUUUUAGCUGUAUGGGAUGGCUCUUAAAUCUACCUACAGUACCUUUUUUAAGCAAAAUAAAAGAUUAAAUUGCUCAUACUUAUAACACUGAGGUGCACUGAGGUGCACUAUAGCACCCUAACCCUGAGGUUCACUAUAGCACCCUAACCCUGAGGUUCACUAUAGCACCCUAACCCUGAGGUUCACUAUAGCACCCUAACCCUGAGGUUCACUACGCGGGGUUCCUCUGUCUCCAGGACAUCAGCAGUGCCUUCAGCAGUGCUGUGGACAGUAUUUGCCUGAGCCCCGGGGUUUGUGAGGGGCUUCCAGAGAUGAAGCUGCUCGCAGUGGCGGUGGCCCUAGGUCUCUACCUGAAAACACACGCCCCGGGGAACGUCUCCAACAUCCAGCAGGCAACCGCCAGCUUCCUGCGCAGCCGGGUGGAACCCUUUGUUGAUCAACAGGGCGGUUGGGGUGCCGUGGCAGACCUCUGAACCAGCCAUGUCGUUGUGACCAACAGUCUGACCUGAGCCAAGACUAUUCAAGAAGGUUUUUUACAACCCAGGAGGUCAAAACCACCAGCAUAAAACCGACUGGCCUGAUCCAUACUGAUUUUAUUGGUUAUUAUUUUUAUUAUUCCACUUGAUUAUGAAGGUUUUUUCAAUUUCUUAGCUUUUCUCUAAAAUGUACACCAUAGAAGGAAAAAGUAAGUUUACAGUAAGAAGUUUACAUAUGUUUACACAUGCACAAUCGCGUGAUGUGCAUGUGAAAAGUGAUGACAUGAUCACCUUUGUUGAUAGUAGAAUAUCAAUAGGAAUGGGUAUAGGAAUAUGAACACAUGAUUUAACUGAUGUAGUCGGUAUAUUCAGGUCAGAUCACAGGGAAAUACCAAGCUUAUAAGGAAAAUACUUGAAACCAGCCUCUUCCAGGAGACAGCGACCACAAUCAAACAUGAACCUGAUGAAUGGGAAGCUUCCUCAUGGGGAUGUUGUGCUGCAUGGCAAACGUAUUCCCAUACACCACAAUGAUUGUUAUUCCAUAAGUGCAAGGUUUAAUCUUGUGUAGUGUGUAAUGUAUAAACACUGUCUACAUCACACAUCUACGUAUCACGGGAGAAUCUAUAUAUGUGGCGUUUAUCUGUAAUGAAGUGAAAGGAACCAAGUGAGUAGAAAAAUGCAUUGCGAACUACCGUCCUGGUUGGUGAAUGUUUGUAAAUCACUAAUGUGCCUCUGUCACAAAAUAAAAAUGACUGUCCUAGGCCCAUCUUCGUACAUUUCUGGCUACAAGGCCCAACCUUUCACCUACAGAUUGUGUUUAAAGUCACAGCCUCUAGAGGGCAGCACAAUAUUAGUAAUAAGCAGGCGAGGAC
ensembl:lncRNA